CCUAAGUCAAGGUUUUUUUCCAGCCUUUUCUCUUUGGUUUAUUGCGCUCGCUCCUCCCGUCUGUCCCCCUUGGCUCUGUCUGGCUUGCGUCGGGUCUGAGUUUUUUUCUUUUCGGGUUGUAUUGCUCCACACCCGGAUCCGUUUCUCCUUUUUUUUAGGAAUGAUCCGUUUUCACCCACAUGAUUUUCUGAAUUUUUUUUUGGAUGGUGGUCGGCAGCCCAUCCCCUAUCAGAAGAGAAGAGAGAGGCGGAGGCGGUGGAGGGGGGUCACCACCGUCGGUGAGCAGCAGCAAGGGGUUAGCUGGAGGUCAUGGAGCACGGGAAGCUGCCGCAGCACAACCCUGGGAAGUUGGAGCCUAGCUGUCGUGGAGGAGCAGGGGGGAGGAGAGAGGGAGGUAUUGAGAAGAGGGCGGCGGAGAUAUUUUGCCAGUCCCGCCACCAGCAAGGUUUCGCCGGUGAUGUCGGAACCGUUCGCCGGCGCCGUUCGAGCCGGAGGGUUGUGGAUUCUUGGGGGCAGAGAUCAUCGAGUGGAUGCUAUGAACCCAACUACGACCCUAAUGACAGUCCCCCAAACACUGAGAGUUGUGAUGAGAGCAUUGCAUAUAGUGAUGAAGAAUCUGUAUCUAGGAGGAAGAAGUUAUUAGAAGAUGCUUUAUUCGUUUUUUUAGGAAGGAGGCAAUCAAAUCACUCGAGAUUUUCCAAAAUUCUGGAAGAAUGUCGACCUUAAAACUGAGCAAAAUUAGAGGCAAAAGGUUAUGGGGGCAGGGAGGCAUGUGUGCAGCGUCUUUUCCACAAAAUACUUCGUAGAUAUCUUGAGGGGUAUGUCCAGUGGCCGGAAGGAUGUCAUCUCAAAAUACGGGUUUGAGCCUCUUCUGAAAUUUGAGAAAACUGAUAUCCCAUCACGAUUUGUCCGCUAUAUUGUCGAAUGUGUAGACACAGUGUCAUCUCAAAUCAUUGUUGCUGAUGAGAAGAUCAUUCCUAUCUCAAAGGAUUCAGUUCCUUGUGUGUUGGGCCUGCUAGACAGUGGUGAUUUAGCGACACAAGACAAGGAUAGUGGGAGGAACUUCAUUUUGUCUCGGUUCAGCUUGAGAGAAAUGCCAAACAUUACUUUCUUUGGAGACAUGCUCAUAUCUUCUGAUUUUCACAGCGAGGAAGGCACUUUCAUAUGCUUCAUGGUGAUCGCAAUGUCGUGCUUCCUUUUUCCAUCUUCCAGCGAUCAGAUUCACAUUGAGUUUUUGACCUUGCUUGUUAAUCCAAAGCGCACAAGUGGUUUUGAUUUCUGUGCGCUUGUGUAUGAUUGGAUACUCACUGGCAUCAACAAGUUUGUGAUUUCUGGCAGAGUACCUGGCAGGAAACCAGAGGUGUUUUGACUUUUGCUCGUACUGCAUCACGGACUAUGAAGAUUCACAAGAAAGAUGGCACCACAUUGGAGAAAUAGAUGGCUUUGUCAAAAGGUGAACUCACCUCCAGGUGAUGAAAGCGAGGUUGACAUGUUGAUGAACUCAUGUGACCUCCAUGGUGACCAUGUGUGAUCUCCAGCGUGAUCUCCCAGCUAUGUAUCGCCUGUGCUUGAUGGUGAGUACUUGAGGCAGGGGUGUUCAUGAAUGACCAAUCCUGUAACAGAAGCUGUUUAAAUACGUACUCCUACCAAAUAUGGUGGAGAUGUUUGAAGGCGUUAUCAAUCUUGUCGGUGCUUUCCUUAUCUUGUGCCUGAUGUUUAGUAUGUAAUAAUUAGGCUAAUUAUUGUUAGGAUUCUACGGUUUUUUCCAUGUAUAGUACUUUUGCACUUACGAGGGUGGGAGGAAGGCUA